rnacentral:rRNA from 1 species
UACAGAGGUCUCAAGCGUUGUUCGGAUUCAUUGGGCGUAAAGGGUGCGUAGGCGGCGCGGUAAGUCGGGUGUGAAAUCUCGGAGCUUAACUCCGAAACUGCAUUCGAUACUGCCGUGCUUGAGGACUGGAGAGGAGACUGGAAUUUACGGUGUAGCGGUGAAAUGCGUAGAUAUCGUAAGGAAGACCAGUGGCGAAGGCGGGGCUCUGGACAGUUCCUGACGCUGAUGCACGAAGGCCAGGGGAGCAAACGGG